AUUGAACGCUGGCGGCAGGCCUAACACAUGCAAGUCGAACGAGUGGCGGACGGGUGAGUAAUGUCUGGGAAACUGCCUGAUGGAGGGGGAUAACUACUGGAAACGGUAGCUAAUACCGCAAACCAUCAGAUGUGCCCAGAUGGGAUUAGCUUGUUGGUGGGGUAUCGGCUCACCAAGGCGACGCUCCCUAGCUGGUCUGAGAGGAUGACCAGCCAAACUGGAACUGAGACACGGUCCAGACUCCUACGGUAGGCAGCAGGGGGGAAUAUUGCACAAUGGGAGCAAGCCUGAUGCAGCCAGGCCGGGUGUAGGAAGAAGGCAUUCGGGUUGUAAAGUACUUUCAGCGGGGAGGCGUUACCCGCAGAAGAAGCACCGGCUAACGCCGUGCCAGCCGCCGCGGUAAUUC
rnacentral:rRNA from 1 species